CGCCAAUGGCGCUUCGGCCUCACAAUGGAUUCAGCCAAUCCGCUACGACGUAAACACGGAAACGAUCACCGACACGGUUACGCAGGACAUUAGACGUAAGCUGGAGUCUACGAGGGAACCAGUCUUUCAAACCACAACACCAAAGAGCCACAAGGCCAUGAGCGAUAAGGAGUGGAUGGCAAGGACCAGCUGAAGGCAGAAGAAGUGGCACACUCUCUAUCAGAAGUAUGUGGCCUCAGACUCCGCACCAGCAGCACCAGUACCACCAGCACCACCAGCACCAGCUCCUCUAGCUGCUAUUCCACAGUCUGUGACCUGAAACUGUUGUUGGAUGCCCGUUUUGAUAUCUAAUAUCAAAACGGGCGAAGCAUCAGCCUCAGCACCAGCAGCAGCAUCAGCAGCACCAGCACAAGCUCCUCUAGCUGCUAUUCCGGUCUGUGGCCUCAGACUUAGCGCUAAAUGUGUCAAUGUUUGCUAAAUCAUGCUUUGCUGGGUCAAAGUCUGCCUCACUAAAGCCACAAUUAGUGGCUAGGAGGACCCCCAGCCCUUCUCCUCCGUUUAUAUCCUCUGUGAGGAACCCAGCGGCCCUGCUCCUCCUCCUCCUCUUCUUCCUCCUCCUCUUCCAUCCUAUGUGAGGACACCCAGCCCAGCUGGAAACUACAGCAUUGCAGAAGAUGCUACAGGGUGAGCCAGGAGGAGUUCAGCUAGCUGCUGCUGGGACUGCAGUUCCAUUCUGGUUGCCAAGUGAAAUGAGAAAGACCCUCCCUGUGCAGGAACAGAGGUGGAUUUCAAACACCCUCUUUCCCUCCGGCAAACUGCAACCAGAUUUGAAGCUGUGGUACGAGCUCCCUGUCCCGGCCCUCAUCUACCAUUAGACACCAACACCCGACCGCUUUUGAGUCGGCUGGACACAGGGAGGUUCAAGUCCCCUAAAAUAAGCAGGACUUCACUCCAGGGUUGGAUAGUGUCAAGAGGGACAGCCUUACCACCACUGGCCCACUUGCACAGUGGCCUGAUUGCUGCCGCCUGAUAGAGACGAUAUUCAUCAGGCUGUGUCUCAUACAUCGUAGUCCCAAGAAGAAGGGGGCUGGGACGGUGCCCCCUUAUAGUCAUCCUCGAUGACUAUAGAAAAGUCAGGCAGUGCAUUCUGGACAACGGGAGAGUUAUGCAGCAGACCACCUUGCAGCUGGUGGACGUGAGCCAUACCACUCACACAAUAAAGGGUGAAGAAGCAGGACAAUUCAGAGGUCAUACAAGGGCUAAAUAUGCCGAGUCACAUGUCCCUGGCAGAUCACCCUAUUAUUUGUGCCACUCACCCACCAGCAUCAACACCCACUGUCGGACAGGCAAAAUUAAAGAGGAAGUCGGAGCGGCAGCAACCUUUCCUUUCUCCCAUCCCAUGCCACAAGGCAGUUGUUCCCCGCUUCACCCUCGGUCCCUCAGAGGGUUACUCCUGGUCCUGCUCCUGCUCCUGCCCGCAGAAAGCUUACGAGAAAAGUGCUACACAACACAUGCAAAAAAUGCGGGCAGUUCAGGACUGCAGAGACUGGGCACAGUCAGUACAAGGGGGUAAUUUACUGCCCCUCAGUAGACACUGUUUCAAAGGAGCAGUGGAUGGAGAACAGGCGAAAAGAAGUACCGGUAACUCUUUCGUUGAUUAUCCAUAUGACACUGGACAUUACUCUUGUAUAUAGUUGUCUAAUAUGUUUAUUUUAUUAUUGUGUGUGGUGUUAUAUUGUUGUAUUAUAUGUGAUUUUAUAUUAUAUUAUACUUUAGAGACUGGUGUUUUUAUAUCUUGUCCUCAUUUAUUUAAAUAAAACUUUGCUUUUCUCAU